CUCAGGAUGAACGCUAGCGACAGGCCUAACACAUGCAAGUCAGGGGCAGCACAGGAGCAAUCUGAGGUGGCGACCGGCGCACGGGUGAGUAACACGUAUGCAACCUGCCUGUAAGCCGGGGAAUAACCCGUUGAAAGACGGACUAAUACCGCAUAAUACUAAAUUACUGCAUGGUAAUUUAUUUAAACAUUUAUGGCUUACAGAUGGGCAUGCGCAUGAUUAGCUAGUUGGAGAGGUAACGGCUCCCCAAGGCAACGAUCAUUAGGGGUUCUGAGAGGAAGGUCCCCCCACACUGGUACUGAGACACGGACCAGACUCCUACGGGAGGCAGCAGUGAGGAAUAUUGGUCAAUGGACGAGAGUCUGAACCAGCCGAGUCGCGUGCAGGAAGAAUUGUCCUAUGGAUUGUAAACUGCUUUUGCAGGGGAAUAAAGUGCAUCACGUGUGAUGUUUUGUAUGUACUCUGCGAAUAAGGAUCGGCUAACUCCGUGCCAGCCGCUGC
rnacentral:rRNA from 1 species